rnacentral:lncRNA from 1 species
UCUAGAGGCGCAGAAGAGGAAGCCAUCGCCUGGCCCCGGCUCUCUGGACCUUGUCUCGCUCGGGAGCGGAAACAGCGGCAGCCAGAGCAUAAAAUACACAAGAGGAUUUUUAUGGAAUGGCUCCUUGUUACAAGGUACUUUGCAUUUAUAAUCAGCCACAGUCACCUCAGUUUCAUCCCGUAUCUUACAAGUAUGAUGUGCUGUAUACUCAAAGCCUCACCACCUGCUUGCCCCACCCAUUUGCUUAAAUGUAUCAAUUUUUUCUAAGCUUAACUUUUACCAAAACUGGAGUUCAACAGAUGAAUAUUUUUCCUUCUUAGAUGUUAACUAAACAUUUUUAAAGGUACAAAAUUUAUGUACAAACAUAACCCAAAUGACAUGGAAGUUACUUGAUUUGUGACUUACCUCUGUAAUG